UUAUGAUAAGGAAUUCUUGUUAUUUACAGAUGAAAUGAUACAAUGCCUGGGAUUUGCUUCAAAACAAUCUGGUAAAGGUGGGAAGUGGAUGGGGCAAGAUUAGCUAUGAGUUGAUAGUCAUUGGGGUUGAGUGAUGGGUAUGUGGUGGUUCAUUAUACUAUUAUGUUACUUAUGUAUAUGUUUUACUUUCUUUAUAAUAAGUACUUUUGAAAAUGAG
rnacentral:lncRNA from 10 species